AGUCCCCUCUAGCUCCACCGUGACCGCAACCUGCAGGAGGAAGAUACAAAAACAUAUGUAAUACAGAAAUGCCCGCCCCUUCUGCUGAAAAUAGAUAAAUCAAAGAGGAGAACAGUAUUUUAAAACCUCGUCACUCUCCGUCAGCAGGGUGUCGUCGAUGGCUGCAGCCAUGGCGUAGCAGUCACAGGUGUUGAAGCCCGGGCCUGACACCAGCUCCUUCUGGUACCGCUCAGUCUGCACCAUCUGCAGGGACAGAGGCAGGUUAUCUCUCUCAGUGUAUUGAACAAGAGGAGGCUGUCAUACCUUCCUGGUGUGGGCGUAGAUCUCCUCCAUGAAUCGAGCCUUGUCUGUGUCCUGUGCCAGCCAAGUGUCGCAGAAAGACUGAGGGAGACAAAAAGACACAAAGAUGCUCGUUGACCAUCUUGAUGAUGGCCUGCGCCGCUCUCUUCUUCUGCAGCAGCUCCAGGCCCGGAGCGUUUGGAUCCGGGACGUCCCCCAGCCCGUCCUUUCCGUGGAAAUCUCCAGCGUGAAGUGUGCGAGCCAGCAGGGGCUCCGCACACCCCCGGUACACUGGGAUCUGUGGGAAAUAACAGCUAAAGAAAAUAUGCUUCUAAUAUAACAUUAUCAUUAUAUAUACACACAACUGUUCAUACCAGGCGGUCUAAACCAAGUUAAAAAAGAACAUAAGUAUGGAAUAUAUAAAAAAGAAAAAGGAACACUAUCAAAAGGAGUUCUCCAGGGGGGUGUUUCCAUGGCUGCAGGUGAUCCCCAAAACCUCCACGUUUGGGUCCGCGAGCGCCAUCAUGAUAGCCUGAGCAUCGUCCACACCUGUGUCCACGUCGAUGAUGAUCUUGUUCUUCAUUUUACCUGCGAGAAAAGGCAUGACGGUGUGUGUUCAGAAGGGGUUUGUGCUGUCCGCCAUGUUUUUGGAAAGGGUGGGUCCACACCUAAAUCUAAACACUCCUGAGUCAAUUCGGGUAUUUGCACAUUUUUAGUAAAAGCUAAUCUAUUUUACAUUAACUAAUCAACUAACUGGGUGAGAAAGCAUGCAGUUUAGCGGCACAGAAAGCAAAACAACCAACUUACCAGUCAGGCAAAGUGUCUUCAAACUGAGUGAAUCGCCUUUCUGCUCCCCCCUGCUUUUUGUACUGCUUCAAAACUUAGGAUAACGCAACAGAACUUUUUUUUAGUUGGACUUGCAUUACAAUAUUUAGUCCCCUCCUCCUAGUACACAAUUGCUUUAUCAUGCAUUAAUGAGGAUCAUAUUUGACUUGAUGUUCUCUUGUUGCACACACUGCAAUUGUAUUUGUUGCUCUUUGGAUCCAAAACUAUGCAAACUAUGAGUUAAAUGGCAUGUCUAGCAAGCUUUAAUUGCGUCUCUGCAGUCGCAUGCUUGUGGACACAGACGUGUGAUAUGCUUAUGUGAGACAGACAGGAACUUUAAGUGUGUGUGGUUGAAAAAAUGACCGCUAUAUUCCUAUUAUCUUUUAUUUUGAUGAACCACAUUCAUGCCUUCAGCUUGUUUUUGUAUAUUUCUACUUCAGUGCGUUCAUGAACAUCUGCUUUAACUUCUCCUGUCAACACAUUCUAUGGCAUUAGAGGAGAUAUUAAAUAGUGCUUGGAUGAAAACCCUCUGAGUGUUCAUCCAAGGAGUACAGCGAGUACGAAAAAUAUAUUUAAACCAUAUGUGAGUAAAUGAAACCUCAUGGAGACUUGGUUUUCAGAGCAUCAAUACAAUGUGCAUCUCCUUAGAACAAAAAUAAAUAAUACUUUGGGAGGAAAUGUGCUUGUCUUUAAUUGUGUGUAUUUAUAACAUAUUGUAUUGCUAAUUGAAUAUGUGUUGUGCUACAUAGGUCAUGUCAGGUCGUGUGAAAGAUUAUUUGGCAUGGAAGGCCAUCAAAAUGUUAAUUUUGCUCAGCAAUGCAAUUCAAUCCCACCUCCAAUCAGACACCAGACCAUAUUCACUUUAUUUAAAUCAAAACUCAAAAUCUGGUUAGUGAGGAAUCAGCUCUGCCAACACUGACCCAAUCUUCUGCUCCUUACAACCCACUGCCUGUGUUUUAACAUGUUCUUUUGUUUUGUUUUAAUGUUCUGCAUUUUAAAUUGUUUUAUUUAAGUAUCCCAGUAAUGUCUGUUGCAUGUUUUAAAUGUAUUGUAUUUACUUGUUUAAAAUGAAA